rnacentral:rRNA from 1 species
GAUGAACGCUGGCGGCGUGCCUAAUACAUGCAAGUCGAGCGAACAGAUGAGUAGCUUGCUCCUCUGACGUUAGCGGCGUACGGGUGAGUAACACGUUGUUCACCUCCCUCUAAGACUGGGCUAACUUCGGGAAUCCGGUGCUAAUACCGGAUAAUCUAUUGAACCGCAUGGUUCAAUAUUGUUCGAUGUUUUUUCUGUCCCUUAUAUAUGGAUCCGCGCCGCAUUAGCUAGUUGGUAAGGUAACGGCUUACCAAGGCAACGAUGCGUAGCCGACCUGAGAGGGUGAACGGCCACACUGGAACUGAGACGCGGUACAGACUCCGACGGGAGGCAGCAAUAGGGAAUCUUCCGAAAUGGGCGAAAGCCCGACGGAGCAACGCCGCGUGAGUGAUGAAGGGCUUCGGAUCGUAAAACUCUGUUAUUAGGGAAGAACAAAUGUGUAAGUAACGAUGCACGUCUUGACGGUACCUAAUCAGAAAGCCACGGCUAACUACGUG